rnacentral:rRNA from 1 species
UACAGAGGUCUCAACCGUUGUUCGGAUUCAUUGGGCGUAAAGGGUGCGUAGGCGGUCGCGCAAGUCGGAUGUGAAAUCUCAGGGCUCAACCCUGAAACUGCAUUCGAUACUGCGUGGCUCGAGUGCUGGAGAGGAGACUGGAAUUUACGGUGUAGCAGUGAAAUGCGUAGAUAUCGUAAGGAAGACCAGUGGCGAAGGCGGGUCUCUGGACAGCAACUGACGCUGAGGCACGAAGGCCAGGGGAGCAAACGGG